AGUGAACGCUGGCGGUAGGCCUAACACAUGCAAGUCGAACGGCAGCACAGUAAGAGCUUGCUCUUACGGGUGGCGAGUGGCGGACGGGUGAGGAAUACAUCGGAAUCUACUUUUUCGUGGGGGAUAACGUAGGGAAACUUACGCUAAUACCGCAUACGACCUACGGGUGAAAGCAGGGGAUCUUCGGACCUUGCGCGAUUGUAUGAGCCGAUGUCGGAUUAGCUAGUUGGCGGGGUAAAGGCCCACCAAGGCGACGAUCCAUAGCUGGUCUGAGAGGAUGAUCAGCCACACUGGAACUGAGACACGGUCCAGACUCCUACGGGAGGCAGCAGUGGGGAAUAUUGGGCAAUGGGCGCAAGCCUGAUCCAGCCAUGCCGCGUGGGUGAAGAAGGCAUUCGGGUUGUAAAGCACUUUUGUUGGGGAAGAAAAGCAGCAGGUUAAUACGCCGAAGUUCUGACGGUACCUAAAGAAUAAGCACCGGCUAACUUCGUG
rnacentral:rRNA from 1 species